UUCUGCACAUUUAUAACUCAGAUGCAGUGUUUUUAUUUUCAAUAAAUCAGUGUGAUAGUGGCAAGAUGGAUGACACUUUUUUACAACGCCCCCUGUGGUCAUGAGGUAUAUGAACUGUCUAGACUGUGUAUUAAUGGACUCCAGACAAAUGAAAAGUACAAGCUUAAGACAGAAAACUGUGCUUAACAGAGAAAUAGAAAGUACCAUGCAGGCUGGAGAAAAUAUACAAGCUCACCAGGUAACAGACUGAGCAUGACACUUGAAGGGAGUGUUGCAUUAAAUGAGAGCACUUUCCAUCCAGUUCUCCAUCUUCUGGGAAGGCCAUCCAGACAUUAAUGGACCAUUUAAGCAGACAACAAAGAUGAACAGCUGAGAAACUGGGUCAAAGAAGAAAGGUCAUAUGGAACAAUGGGAACAUGGCAAACAACCUCAGCACACUGAGACUGGAUUGACUGGAGAGAUCGGGCAACCUCUGGACAUUGCAGCGUCAGCAACAGCGAGGCAAGUGUAGACUCUCAGCAUAUCUACCAUUCACACUGUGCUUGCUAGAUAUAGGCCAAGAUGGAUACACAA